rnacentral:rRNA from 1 species
UUGGAGGGCAAGUCUGGUGCCAGCAGCCGCGGUAAUUCCAGCUCCAAUAGCGUAUAUUAAAGUUGUUGCAGUUAAAAAGCUCGUAGUUGAAUUUCGGGAUCAAAUAGUCGGUCGUGCCUCGGUACGCACUGGUAUUAUUGGUUCCUACCUUCUGAAGAACCGCGAUGUCAUUAAUUUGGUGUCGUGGGGAAUCAGGACUGUUACUUUGAAAAAAUUAGAGUGUUUAAAGCAGGCUUACGCUUGAAUACAUUAGCAUGGAAUAAUGAAAUAGGACGUUUGAUUCUAUUUUGUUGGUUUCUAGGAUUCACGUAAUGAUUAAUAGGGAUAGUUGGGGGCAUUAGUAUUCAAUUGUCAGAGGUGAAGUUCUUGGAUUUAUUGAAGACUAACUACUGCGAAAGCAUUUGCCAAGGAUGUUCUCAUUAAUCAAGAACGAAAGUUAGGGGAUCGAAGACGAUCAGAUACCGUCGUAGUCUUAACCAUAAACUAUGCCGACUAGGGAUCGGAUGAUGUUAAUUUUUUAAUGACUCAUUCGGCGCCUUACGGGAAACCAAAGUGUUUGGGUUC